GCCCUAGUAACGGCGAGUGAAGCGGCAACAGCUCAAAUUUGAAAUCUGGCUUUCGGGCCCGAGUUGUAAUUUGUAGAGGAUACUUUUGAUGCGGUGCCUUCCGAGUUCCCUGGAACGGGACGCCAUAGAGGGUGAGAGCCCCGUCUGGUUGGAUGCCAAAUCUCUGUAAAGUUCCUUCGACGAGUCGAGUAGUUUGGGAAUGCUGCUCUAAAUGGGAGGUAUAUGUCUUCUAAAGCUAAAUAUUGGCCAGAGACCGAUAGCGCACAAGUAGAGUGAUCGAAAGAUGAAAAGCACUUUGAAAAGAGAGUUAAAAAGUACGUGAAAUUGUUGAAAGGGAAGCGUUUAUGACCAGACUUGGACUUGGUUAAUCAUCUGGGGUUCUCCCCAGUGCACUUUUCCAGUUCAGGCCAGCAUCAGUUUUCGCCGGGGGAUAAAGGCUUCGGGAAUGUAGCUCUCUUCGGGGAGUGUUAUAGCCCGUUGUGUAAUACCCUGGCGGAGACUGAGGUUCGCGCUUCUGCAAGGAUGCUGGCGUAAUGGUCAUCAACGACCCGUCUUGAAACACGGACCAAGGAGUCGUCUUCGUAUGCGAGUGUUCGGGUGUCAAACCCCUACGCGUAAUGAAAGUGAACGCAGGUGAGAGCUUCGGCGCAUCAUCGACCGAUCCUGAUGUUCUCGGAUGGAUUUGAGUAAGAGCAUACGGGGCCGGACCCGAAAGAAGGUGAACUAUGCCUGUAUAGGGUGAAGCCAGAGGAAACUCUGGUGGAGGCUCGCAGCGGUUCUGACGUGCAAAUCGAUCGUCAAAUAUGGGCAUGGGGGCGAAAGACUAAUCGAACCUUCUAGUAGCUGGUU
rnacentral:rRNA from 1 species